UACGUAGGGGGCGAGCGUUGUCCGGAGUUACUGGGCGUAAAGCGCACGCAGGCGGUCUGCUAAGUUUGGAGUGACAGUUGGUGGCUUAACUGCCAAAGUGCUUCAAAAACUGACAGACUUGAGGGCUUCAGAGGGACACGGAAUUCCGGGUGGAGUGGUGAAAUGCGUAGAGAUCCGGAGGAACACCAAAGGCGAAGGCAGUGUCCUGGGGAGUACCUGACGCUCAGGUGCGAAAGCCAGGGGAGCGAACGGG
rnacentral:rRNA from 1 species